rnacentral:rRNA from 1 species
GACGAACGCUGGCGGCGUGCCUAAUACAUGCAAGUAGAACGCACAGUUUAUACCGUAGCUUGCUACACCAUAGACUGUGAGUUGCGAACGGGUGAGUAACGCGUAGGUAACCUGCCUGGUAGCGGGGGAUAACUAUUGGAAACGAUAGCUAAUACCGCAUAAUAUUGAUUAUUGCAUGAUAAUUGAUUGAAAGAUGCUAUUGCAUCACUACCAGAUGGACCUGCGUUGUAUUAGCUAGUAGGUGAGGUAACGGCUCACCUAGGCGACGAUACAUAGCCGACCUGAGAGGGUGAUCGGCCACACUGGGACUGAGACACGGCCCAGACUCCUACGGGAGGCAGCAGUAGGGAAUCUUCGGCAAUGGACGAAAGUCUGACCGAGCAACGCCGCGUGAGUGAAGAAGGUUUUCGGACCGUAAAGCUCUGUUGUAAGAGAAGAACGGGUGUGAGAGUGGAAAGUUCACACUGUGACGGUAUCUUACCAGAAAGGGACGGCUAACUACGU